GAGACACGUAUCCAACCUGCCCUUUACUCGGGGAUAGCCUUUCGAAAGAAAGAUUAAUACCCGAUAGCAUAAUGAUUCCGCAUGGUUUCAUUAUUAAAGGAUUCCGGUAAAGGAUGGGGAUGCGUUCCAUUAGGUUGUUGGUGAGGUAACGGCUCACCAAGCCUUCGAUGGAUAGGGGUUCUGAGAGGAAGGUCCCCCACAUUGGAACUGAGACACGGUCCAA
rnacentral:rRNA from 1 species